rnacentral:lncRNA from 1 species
UGUACGAGGUGCAUUUUCAUUAGAUAGCGAAAAAUUCAGGUUGAAUCUGUAAAAUUUUAAAAAAGAUAUAUUUUUACAAAAUUUUAAAAUAAGUUAAUUUUUUGGAUGAAUUAUAGAAAAUCUUUAUGUUAAUACCCUUUUUUUUCACUUUUUUUUCCUGUCAUUCAAAAACCUACACUUUAUUAUCUUAAAAAAUAAAAAAUAUUCACUUUUGAUCCCGUCGUGAGUGUUCCGUUAGGAUUUUGUUUAUAUCAUAUUUUUUAUAUUUAAAAUACUCUUGAAGCUCUCAUAUUUCCUCAUUUUCGGUCGCACUGCCUCGCCCUCCCCCACCUCUCUGUUCAUGCCCACACACACGUUCUCGUUCGCCUUUGUAAGGAUUGAGAUUUUUGACAGUGUAACUAAACUCUCUGUUGAUGAUGUUUAUGUGUGUAAUUUAAUUACAUAAGCACUCGUCAAGUUUCAGGAGAAAAUGAGCUAAAACGGAAAAGUUACGCAAUUAUUAGUUUUCACUUAAGUGAAUAGUAACUCCGGUUUUUCGGAGAAGCCACGGAGUAGAGUUGGCUUCUGGUGCGUAUCGGACUCCGUUCAUAGCAGUCCAAUAGCUCGUUUCGAAGGAUUCAGUUAUUCUGGAACCAAUGGCAUUGACGGAUUUCAGAUCCGAUGCACGGUUUUCGAGAAAAAGGGAUUUUAUCGAAAUGGGGGUUUUCGCUCUUUGCUAUUCGUGCAGUUUAAAGCUCCUCGUACUCUGUGCAUGUGACCUAGAGUUGAGUGGAGG